rnacentral:rRNA from 1 species
AUUGAACGCUGGCGGCAUGCUUAACACAUGAAAGUCGAACGGUAACAGGUGUAGCAAUACAUGCUGACGAGUGGCGGACGGGUGAGGAAGGCUUGGGAAUCUGCCUGUUAGUGGGGGACAACCCGGGGAAACUCGGGCUAAUACCGCAUACGCUCUACGGAGGAAAGGGGGGGACCGUAAGGCCUCGCGCUAACAGAUGAGCCCAAGUCGGAUUAGCUAGUUGGUGGGGUAAACGCCUACCAAGGCGACGAUCCGUAGCUGGUCUGAGAGGACGAUCAGCCACACUGGGACUGAGACACGGCCCAGACUCCUACGGGAGGCAGCAGUGGGGAAUAUUGGACAAUGGGGGCAACCCUGAUCCAGCAAUGCCGCGUGUGUGAAGAAGGCCUGCGGGUUGUAAAGCACUUUUGGCAGGGAUGAAAAGCACUGGAUUAAUAACCCAGUGUGUUGACCUAACCUGCAGAAGAAGCACCGGCUAACUCUGUG